rnacentral:rRNA from 1 species
GACAGAGGGGGCAAGCGUUGCUCGGAAUCACUGGGCGUAAAGGGCGCGUAGGCGGGAUGGCAAGUCGGUCGUGAAAUCCUUCGGCUCAACCGAAGAACGUCGGCCGAUACUGCCGUUCUUGAGGGAUGCAGAGGAGAUUGGAAUUCCCGGUGUAGCGGUGAAAUGUGUAGAGAUCGGGAGGAACACCGGUGGCGAAGGCGGAUCUCUGGGCCUUACCUGACGCUCAGGUGCGAAAGCUAGGGGAGCGAACAGG